AACUAAGAGUGUGCGGUGUGUGUGUGCGUGGGGGGUGGGGGAAUGAAACUCUGUCCAUUCUUAGGUUUGUAACAGCCUCAAAAUUACGGAAUCUAUUUAAGGUAAACCUGAUGCUGCCCAUUGUCCAAUGCCUAACACAAAUCAAGCUUAUGGAAAAAGAAUAUUAAAAUUUCCACGUUUUCCCUCGGGUCUGGAACCCCAGGAUUCAAGGGAGAAUUAAACAUUUUCCUCUCCCAUUCCCUUUCUCUUCCGAAGUCCGUAAAUGACAACGUGUUUACACAAGUUUUUAUGUCGUCUGAGCUUCGCCCCGGCCCCGCUUCCUCCUCUGUGUAUGUUCCGCGCAGAGAGAUGUCUGCUUCAGGACGCGUUCAACCUAAACAGAACCCCGUCUGAUUGGAAAAUGUAUUUAUUUGAAAAAUCGUAACUCACAGCUUUGGUGAAAACGGCCCCCAAAUUUAUGGGAUGGCUUGGGGCGCGGCGGUCGUAAAUUAAAAAGCACUGGACAACCCCCUCCCCCAAUCCCCGCAGCGGCACCAGUCAGGUUCUCAGGAGCACCCAGAGACUAGCCCCCUCCCGGCUCCACCCCGCCGCACUCUUCAGCCUCUGCUCCAAUCUCUUGCUGUGGGUAAGUGGCUGUGUUAACAGGCAGGUGGAUUUCAUUCUGGUUCCUUUCACCCAGUCAAGUUAAUUUCAGGGUAGCCUCACUGAGAACGGUUUCAGGUGGUCGGUUAACAGUGAACAGUGUUCUGUUGUGCACCCAUCUGUUUUAGGCAUCUCGGGUUUUCUCUUUAAGUACACGCUGGUAAAUUUCGUGGUAGUGGGCUGCUUGUCCCUAGUCCCCAACCGAGUGAUCAGUGGUGUGCCAGGCUGUCUCAUGCCAAGAGGUUUAUCUCUGGUCAGUGUCAUGAAGGUCAGUUUCAUCGGCGACUGCUGCUGCCCAGGUCUGGGAAAUUUUUUCCUUUCAGUCCAAUCUGAAUUCCCCUGGAGGAUGGAGUCAACACAUUCCGCCUAGUUGCGCGAUCCUUCAGCCAGCCUGCGCCAGCUGAGGACUAGGAUUAGAGGUUGGAACUGCGAGCACGUCCUGGGGAACAGGAGCCGCGGCCGCCAGAGGUGGGGAGCCGCGUAGUCCAGGCGGAGCUGGACUCAUGGGGCCUUCACUCGCAAUCGUCUGCUUCCCCCUGCAAACGCCGGACUGAGCCAUAUCGCUCCGUCUUUUUUUUUUUUCACUAACGAUCAAGCGCCACUUUGGCAGCGUACCCACGGGGAGCAAGGCAAGCUCUCCGCUCCCGGCUUGUCUGUCUAAGCGCUGCUGUCUCGGGCAAACGAGUUUAGCUACUCAAAAUUUGUGCCUUUUGCGCUCGUUUCAAAGGAGCGCUCUGGAGCGCAGGAAGAGCCGCAAAGUAGUGCGGGAAUCCCAGAAUCCGAGGUGGUGCCGUAACUCAUCCCAACCGGUUCUGCCGCGGCCACCUGCCUCGCAGCAAGCCAGUCCGCUGGCACUGAUGUAUACGCAGAAACGUUGGUUGGAAGAAAUGCAAUACCUUUAUUAGGCAGAGAAAGCCCAGCUGGAUUAACCUAGUCUGUUUUGGGAGAUUAAGAACUGGUGUGAGGUAGCAUGGGUCCGAAGUGGUGAGGGGACAGAGGGCUCCUCUUCCACCAGGUUCCCUUAACACGGGGUCUGGGGUGGGAGAAGGGGGACAGCCCUCCUUCCUCAGGCCUGCUUCCUUCCAAUCUAAAAUGGCCUUGCUCUAACGGGUGUUGGGAUCUGCACAUUCUCCUCCGCCCCGGACAGCACUAGAGCCAGAGAUGGACUUUCAGAGCUGCUUGGAGUACGAGGGUUGGAGCAGGGGCCAGAGGACUUACUUGAUGAGUCCUAUCGAGGUAGCUGAGUUUGGGCACUGUGGACUGGGCAGGCGUCUACAGCAGACUCCCUCCGGGGCCUCUCCUGUGCGUCUUUUGGAGACUCGCUCUGCCCUCCCCAUUUAUGAAGCUGCUCACCUGCAGGUCCUUGGCAAGGUGAAUGCAACUCCAUACCACCUGGCGGCUCUCCCUCAUCAGCCCGAGGCAUCCCCCGUCCCUCUGCUGGCCCCCUCUCUAGCUGUCCCACAUGAGUGCCCCCUCCCCGCAGACAGCAGAGCCGUUGCUCCUAUCAAUUCUGAGAGUGAGCUACCCGGCUCAGGCUCGGCUCCCGUUUUCCAGGGUCAAAGCAGUCGGCCAGCACAAAGGUUGCCCUUUAAAUGGGAUGGGCAGAGGUCAAGAAGCAGCCUAUUGUGUACACUGAGAUGUAGGAGAUACAUUUUGAGCUUGAAGAUAUGUUACUCACAGUACCACCCCUCCUAUUUUGAAAUGAAAGAGGAAGUGUCCCCGUUACUCCUUUUUGAAGGGAAGAUUUACAGCACAUCAACCGCUCUCUUAAAAAAUUGCCCCCUUAACCUCAACUACUCUCAGUCCUUUAAAACCCACCCACAGAGGGAUUGAGAACAGCCAGUUUUUGUCCCCUCUGUAAAUUGUGUACCACAGGCUUGCACCUUGCCCUGGAAGUGCCAUCUGUUA
ensembl:lncRNA